CCAACGUGGAUACCCCGGGAGGUCACUCUCCCCGGGCUCUGUCCUGGUGGCGUAGGGGAGCGUAGGGCUCUGCCCGGUGAUGUACACUCCCUUUCCACACCGUUGGAUAUGAAGCUGGGCUUCGAGUCUGCUCCUAUAUAUUCCUACAGCUCCUUAGAGUCUUUCGGACCGUGACUGAGGAGACAAACCAUGCAGGAAACAAAA
ensembl:snoRNA SNORA73 Small nucleolar RNA SNORA73 family